ACUCAUCUUCCUCAUACUGAACUUGUAACACUGCCGGAGCCGCUGCCAGCAGUGAACGUUACCACCUUCAAACCACCCCAAAUUAACACCACGUGAUCUUCUUUUCUCCCUCGUCUCAAAUCUACAAACAGCUCCGUUCAGAACCCAGCCUAACCCUUCGAAUAUUUGUCCGCAGUUUUCUGGCCACGACAUCACUUUUUGCAAAUGGCAAUAUAUUAACACCGUAGGGUCGCCUGAGUCUCCUCUACCCAACCCUCCUAACCUCGUCCCUCGAAUUCGGAAAUGCUCAAAUGUCAAUUUUUAAUUUUCCAACCAAAAUCCUAGGUGCUCUGAAAUGAUUCAAAUGGGUGCUACAAGGUCCUCGUGCUUCCUUAGUAAGGUUUCUACUAUUGUUAGCACUCGAAGUUCACCAGACGGGGUUGAGUUGAGACUGUGAGACGUGGCCAGGUUUUACUGAGUUAUUUUUUUCUUUUGAUUAAUAUUUAAUUUUUGUUUGUUUUGCAUGUGAUUAAUGAAUGUUUGCAAGUUAAUUUUCGCUUCUUUCUUAGUUUUAAUCGUUUUUAAUCAUUUUUGCUUCUUAGUUGAUGGUAAUUAGUUAAAAUCAAUUGAUUCAUGUCUGUUAUCUGUUCA
rnacentral:lncRNA from 1 species